rnacentral:rRNA from 1 species
UACGUAGGGUGCGAGCGUUGUCCGGAAUUAUUGGGCGUAAAGAGCUUGUAGGCGGUUUGUCGCGUCUGCUGUGAAAAUCCGGGGUUCAACCCCGGACUUGCAGUGGGUACGGGCAGACUAGAGUGUGGUAGGGGAGACUGGAAUUCCUGGUGUAGCGGUGGAAUGCGCAGAUAUCAGGAGGAACACCGAUGGCGAAGGCAGGUCUCUGGGCCACUACUGACGCUGAGAAGCGAAAGCAUGGGGAGCGAACAGG